CGGAGCUGUCACAGUAAGAGCGGGAGAAGGGGGAGGGGGGACAGUUAGUGCAAGUUUUCCCACAAACACCAAACUCCUCAGCUUGCUUCUCAGGCAGUAACACGGACACACGACAGGGCAGCAUUUCUGAAAAGCGGAUCCAUUUGCUCCCUGCCCUGUUAGCGAGGCUUCAGAGGGGAAACUCGGGGAAGCCCCCUACCCCGGGGC